GACGAACGCUGGCGGCGUGCUUAACACAUGCAAGUCGAACGGUGAAGGGACCAUCUUGCUGGUUCUGGAUGAGUGGCGAACGGGGGAGUAACACGUGAGUAACCUGCGCCCUUCUUCUGGAUAACCGCAUGAAAGUGUGACUAAUACGGGAUAUUCUGUGUCUUUCGCAUGUCGGGCCCGUGGAAGAUAUUGCUUCUGUGGGGGAUGGGCUCGCGGCCUAUCAGCUUGUGGGUGGGGGGAUGGCCUACCAAGGCGGUGACGGGUGUCCGGCGUGGGCGGGUGGAACGUCAAAAUGGGAACGAGACACGGGCCAGGAUCCCAACGGAGGGAGCCGUGGGGAAUAUUGCAACAUGGGCGGAAGCCUGAUGGAGCGAAGCCGCGUGAGGGAUGGACGCCUUCGGGUUGUAAACCUCUUUCGCCAGUGAAGCAGGCCAGCUGCUUGUGAGUGGGUUGACGGUAGCUGGAUAAGAAGCGCCGGCUAACUACGUG
rnacentral:rRNA from 1 species